rnacentral:rRNA from 1 species
GCAAGUCGAACGAGAAAGCUCCCUUCGGGGAGUGAGUACAGUGGCGAACGGGUGAGUAACGCGUGGGAAACCUGCCCUUUUGUGGGGGAUAACAGUUCUAACGAGCUGCUAAUACCGCAUACGCUCUCUGGAUCGCAUGGUCCGGAGAUGAAAGGUGGCCUCUCUUUGAAGCUGCCGCAGAAGGAUGGUCCCGCGUCCCAUUAGCUUGUUGGUGGGGUAAUGGCCUACCAAGGCGACGAUGGGUAGCCGGCCUGAGAGGGUGUCC